rnacentral:rRNA from 1 species
UACGUAGGCAGCAAGCGUUGUUCGGAGUUACUGGGCGUAAAGGGUGCGUAGGCGGCCAUGUAAGUGUGGUGUGAAAUCUCCCGGCUUAACUGGGAGGGUGCGCUACAGACUGCAUGGCUAGAGUGUGGGAGAGGAAAGUGGAAUUCCUGGUGUAGCGGUGAAAUGCGUAGAUAUCAGGAGGAACACCGGUGGUGUAAACGGCUUUCUGGACCAUAACUGACGCUGAUGCACGAAAGCGUGGGUAGCAAACAGG